rnacentral:tRNA from 2 species
GACUUAAAAAAUCCGUUGGCUUUUUAGACCGUGAGGGUUCAAGUCCCUCUACCCCCA